rnacentral:tRNA from 1 species
GGGGCUAUAGCCAGCUGGGAGAGCGCUUGCAUGGCAUGCAAGAGGUCAGCGGUUCGAUCCCGCUUAGCUCCACCA